rnacentral:rRNA from 1 species
UACGGGGGGGGCAAGCGUUGUUCGGAAUUACUGGGCGUAAAGGGCUCGUAGGUGGCCAACUAAGUCAGACGUGAAAUCCCUCGGCUUAACCGGGGAACUGCGUCUGAUACUGGAUGGCUUGAGUUUGGGAGAGGGAUGCGGAAUUCCAGGUGUAGCGGAUGAAAUGCGUAGAUAUCUGGAGGAACACCGGUGGCGAAGGCGGCGAUCCUGGACCAACACUGACACUGAGGAGCGAAAGCCAGGGGAGACGAA